UGCCAAAGACUUUUCUGAAGUGCUUGUACUGCUUGAUGGAUCAGAGGAUUCGUGCAGAGGAUUUUUAGAUGGUUAGGAAAUAUUUCAGACCAACGUGAUGUGCAAUCCUUGAAGCUUUCAGUUCAGAUGAGUGUUAUUAACAGCAACCUUUAGAGUACAUCGGGGAUUAACUUAAUUUUUUGUGUGAUUGGAGAAGAAAUGGACAGCCUCUAUAGGAUUGGUUUUUCACUGGAGUGUUCCAGGUGUCAAUGGGAAACAGUUCUGACAACCCUACCCCAAAGAGGAAAGGUGUUUGGAUGCCAAGCAGCCCCCAAAUGACGAAUGUCCAUUAAAAUCAGUUAAAUGUGAAGAUUCAGGAAGAAGAGGUCCAGUGAAGAAAUAAAGCUGAAGGAGAGACCAGAUGGCCAAUUCUCUUCUGAGUCACUUGCAUUUUGUUUAUUUCUCUUUUUGAUGAAUUUCUCUGAGUACACAACAGGCUGAAUUGGCAUGUCAUGAGAUACACAGCCACAGAAAUACAAAUGUCAUUUCCAUCCUGGGUCAGCAGAAAUACAUAUUCUAGAUCAGCAUUCAGCCUGGAGUUAAAAUGUAUGGUAUUUUGAUAGGACUGAUUUAGUAGUUUUUAAAUCAAAAGACCUGUUGGUAUGUUGAAACUAGAUUAUUGUAGAAUUCUCCUGUUUAAUCCUGUUUAAUAUUCUAUUUAGGCCUUUUUUGGGGGGUGAGGUGUUCAUUACCAACCAAUCCUGUUUGCCCAGGAUUACAUAGUCUGUGUCCUGGCAAGUAGCUCAGUGUAUCCAGCGACAACAGGCACUUUUAAUUUACCUAAGGCCUAGCUACUUUGUUUUCAGUCUUUCACCAGAUCUGUGAAAAUGUUUUUUUUCUAUAAUCUAAUCCCUUAAUAUACAUCAAGUUGCAAGAGAGAAAUAUUUUUAGAAGCAUAAGGCUGAUUUACUCAUUGGUUUGGAAUGUUCACAUUUUCUUUUUUGAUGUAUAUCAGAUUCUAAGAGGUGAAAUAGAUAAACAAUGAAAUUUUUACUUCCAUAUUUUUGAGAAAAAAUAUUUUAAGAUUAGCUAUUACUUUAGAAUUUAUUUUUAAAUCAUAAUAUGAAAGCUUUUUAUUUUAAAUUAUUGUUCUCUUUCCUUUGAUUUUCAGUAUUAGAAAAUAUUACAUCAGUAUGAGUCUGUAUGCUUCAGAUAUGAGCUUUUCUGUGUAUUCAUCUGCUAUUGCUUAUUAUCUUUUAACUGUGUUUGAAGACUUGUGAAGAAAUUCUGCCAAAGGAUUAAUGUAUGAAGGGAAUUCAUACCAAAUGAUAUUAUAGAAAAAUAUAUUGGAAUAUUGGAAAAUAAAACUAAUAUUCUUAUAAACAAA